UGGGGAAUAUUGCACAAUGGGCGAAAGCCUGAUGCAGCAACGCCGCGUGAGUGAUGAAGGUCUUCGGAUUGUAAAGCUCUGUCUUUUGGGACGAUAAUGACUGUACCAAAGGAGGAAGCCACGGCUAACUACGUGCCAGCAGCCGCGGUAAUACGUAGGUGGCGAGCGUUGUCCGGAUUUACUGGGCGUAAAGGGUGCGUAGGCGGAUGUUUAAGUGAGAUGUGAAAUACCCGGGCUUAACUUGGGUGCUGCAUUUCAAACUGGAUAUCUAGAGUGCAGGAGAGGAGAAUGGAAUUCCUAGUGUAGCGGUGAAAUGCGUAGAGAUUAGGAAGAACACCAGUGGCGAAGGCGAUUCUCUGGACUGUAACUGACGCUGAGGCACGAAAAGCGUGGGUAGCAAACAGGAUUAGAUACCCUGGUAGUCCACGCCGUAAAACGAUGAGUACUAGGUGUAGGAGGUAUCGACCCCUUCUGUGCCGCAGUAAAACACAUUAAAGUACUCCGCCUGGGAAGUACGAUCGCAAGAUUAAAAAC
rnacentral:rRNA from 1 species